AGAAAGCCUAAUCCAGCCCACGGAGCGGGGGAACCAAUUUUUGGGGUGAAUGAAAACCGGCCUGGCCUAUUUUGGCAGGAAUGGUCUUAAAGGGUAGUCUUCUCUGCCCUAACCCGUCAGCUAACCUCGUAGGCGUAUAGAGAGAGGA
rnacentral:sRNA from 1 species